rnacentral:rRNA from 1 species
AGCAGCCGCGGUAAUUCCAGCUCCAAUAGCGUAUAUUAAAGUUGUUGCAGUUAAAAAGCUCGUAGUUGAAUUUCGGGACCAAUUUGUUGGUCGUGCCUCGGUACGUACUGGUAUUAUUGGUUUCUCCCUUCUGAAGAACCAUGAUGCCAUUAAUUUGGUGUCGUGGGGAAUCAGGACUGUUACUUUGAAAAAAUUAGAGUGUUUAAAGCAGGCAUACGCUUGAAUACAUUAGCAUGGAAUAAUGAAAUAGGACGUUUGAUUCUAUUUUGUUGGUUUCUAGGAUCGACGUAAUGAUUAAUAGGGAUAGUUGGGGGCAUUAGUAUUCAAUUGUCAGAGGUGAAAUUCUUGGAUUUAUUGAAGACUAACUACUGCGAAAGCAUUUGCCAAGGAUGUUUUCAUUAAUCAAGAACGAAAGUUAGAGGAUCGAAGACGAUCAGAUACCGUCGUAGUCUUAACCAUAAACUAUGCCGACUAGGGAUCGGAUGAUGUUAAUUUUUAAUGUACUUAUUCGGCGCCUUAC